rnacentral:rRNA from 1 species
UACGUAGGGGGCAAGCGUUGUCCGGAUUUAUUGGGCGUAAAGAGCGUGUAGGCGGCUAGGUAGGUCCGUUGUGAAAACUCGAGGCUCAACCUCGAGCUGUCGAUGGAAACCAUCUGGCUAGAGUCCGGAAGAGGAGAGUGGAAUUCCUGGUGUAGCGGUGAAAUGCGCAGAUAUCAGGAGGAACACCGGUGGCGAAGGCGGUUCUCUGGGCAUUACCUGACGCUGAGGAGCGAAAGUGUGGGGAGCGAACAGG